rnacentral:rRNA from 1 species
UACGUAGGGUGCGAGCGUUAAUCGGAAUUACUGGGCGUAAAGCGUGCGCCGGCGGCUCAUUAAGACAGGCGUGAAAUCCCCGGGCUUAACCUGGGAACUGCGCUUGUGACUGGUGGGCUGGAGUGUGUCAGAGGGAGGUGGAAUUCCACGUGUAGCAGGUAAAUGCGUAGAGAUGUGGAGGAACACCGAUGGCGAAGGCAACCUCCUGGGACAACACUGACGCUCAUGCACGAAAGCGUGGGGAGCAAACAGG